UCCAGAAUUUCUGACUUUGUACGUUUGAGGUGAGGCCUUAGAAUUUCUCAGUGAUACUGCCAGCAUAGGGAGUACAUUGAGAAGCAUUCCUCUAUACCAUGCUGUUCUUGUUCCAUAAAGAACUCAAGCUGUUUUCGUUACAUGCUUUGCCUUUGUUCUGGUUCAGAAUGCCCAGGAAAACCUAGCUUCUCUUGGAUUUUAGAAUCCUUUGGAGGAGGGGAGAAGAAUUUCAGAAAGAUUCUAUAUUGAUCUAGGUCCCGUAUAAAGGCUGAGGGAGUGCCGUUGGACCCUCUAACAGCAUAUUAAAAUUGGAUCCCAAGAUCCUUUGUGGAAGAGCCUUGGCACCCUGACUCACCUUAUAUUGAGCCAACAUGACAGAAAAAUACAUCAUUUUUCUCUACCGUGAAAGGAAACAAGUGUGAAAAUAAUGGGAAAGAUGUGCAGUUUAAAACAAAGCAACAUAAUUUGCACUAAGCUGUAAAAAGGAACUUGAAGCCACAUCCAGGCGCGAUAGCUUCCUGUGUUCUGUUUCUGAGAUACAUUCUUCAGGCUUUUGGUGGAAUGGCUGGGAGAGGUGUUUGGUAUUGACAUUCAAAUGAAAGAAUCAGAUAUCUCUCCAGGCUACAGAAUUUCUUUAUCUGACAUUGCCACAACAAGCAGAUCAGAGGUAUUUGUGGUAUCCCUCUUGGUUCUUUUAUAUUCUAACUGCUAAAUGAAAGGAGCAACAACUAAAACUUAUCUUUGAAAAGGAUAAGUCCAUUAUUGGGGUCUUUGAAGCUUUGACGAGUGAGCACACUGUACUUGGGUAAAGUGCCCUAAUAGGUGGAAGGAAGCAAAGACAGCCUUAUCAAUUUCCCUGUGCAGAAGCAGAACUAUUGUCGUCUUUAUUAAAAAUAUGCCUCUGAGCAGGUGGUCCUGUUCUGAAUACCUCCAAGAAUCUGGGAGUUUCACGUGGCCCUUACUAAAACAGCUUAGGCCGUCUUGAGAGAUGUGAACGGAGAUCAAAUUGCUAUGCUGGGAGUGCUCAGUGUGGUGGACAGAUUUAUUCUCAGAUUUUUAAAACUUGAAACUUUGGCAAUUAUAUUAAUAAAGAUAAGUAAGCUGGUUGACAUCAACACAUGCAUUCUGUUUGUUCUUUGUACAUCCGUGUACCUCCCAGAGAGGGCUGUGACCCAGAUUCCAUAAGCAUUCAAGACUUUCAUUAGAUUAGAAUGACAUAUACUUAUCAUUAGAGCGUACUAAUUAAAGCAGAAAGUGACAUUUCAAAGUAAUGAUGUUCCCUAGUGUCUCAAUGUAAAAUACUCCCUAGUCUAUUUUUAAUGACCUAGUAUGCUAUGUAUUUUUAAAAUAUUAUUUUGUUAUGAACUUAUGUUUUCAUUAUUGUCAAUGGUGGUGAUGGCUAACAAGG